rnacentral:lncRNA from 1 species
AUGGGCUUAACAACAUUAGUUAUUUCAACCCGUGGGCAUGGAUCUUCCCACUUGUGUCUUCUUCAGUUUCUUUCAUCAGUGACUUAUAGUUUUCAGUGUCUUAAACGGCUUAAAAUUGUAGUAAGACUUUUGGAACACCGAUUUAUUGUGAAAAGGUGCUGCGGGAUCCGUGUUGGUGGAGAACCGCUCAUCCACACUUUGCAAGCCCUUCGGAAGAGCAGCCAACUGAAAAAAUGCCCAGUAAUGACAGUAGGAUGGGAGACGGGGUGGAGGCCAGGGGCUGAAGCCAGCGGGCCGCGGCCUGCUCCCGAGGGUAAGACAGCGGCUCCCCUGGGACGCGCUGGGAACCGGGAGGGAGCGCGCCCGGGAGGACCCGCCCCAAACGGCCCGGCCUCCACCUUGACCCUCCCAGUUCCGCGGUGCGGGCGGCGCCGGUCGGGACCGGGGUGCGGAAGGGGCGGCGGCGGCGACAGGUGGCCUCCCGGCCUCUGCACCCCCGGCCCCGCCCCCGGCUCUGCCCCCGCGGCCCCGGCUCUGCACCCCCGGCCCCGGCUCUGCCCCCGACUCUGCCCCGCGGCCCCGCCUCUGCACCCCCGGCCCCGGCUCUGCACCCCCGGCCCCGGCUCUGCACCCCCGGCCUCGGCUCUGCACCCCCGGCCCGGCUCUGCCCCCGUCUCUGCCCCGCGGCCCCGGCUCUGCCCCCCCGACCCCGGCCCCGCCCCCCGGCCCCAGCUCUGCCCCCGCCUCUGCCCCCCCGGCCCCGGGUCUGCCCCCGCCUCUGCUCCCCCGGCCCCGCCUCUGCACCCCCGGCUCCGGCUCUGCACCCCCGGCCCCGGCUCUGCCCCCGCCUCUGCCCCCGCGGCCCCGGCUCUGCCUCCGGCUCUGCCCCCGCGGCCCCGGCUCUGCCCCCGGCUCUGCCCCCGCCUCUGCCCCGCGGCCCCGGCUCUGCCCCCCCCCCCCCCCCCCGGCCCCGGCUCUGUCCCCCGACCCCGGCUCUGCCCCGCGGCCCCGACCCCGGCUCUGCCCCGGCUCUGCCCCCGGCUCUGCCCCCGGCCCCGGCUCUGCCCCUGCCUCUGCCCCGCGGCCCCGGCUCUGCCCCACCGGCCCCGGCUCUGCCCCGCGGCCCCGGCUCUGCCCCCGCCUCUGCCCCGGCUCUGCCCCCGCGGCCCCGGCUCUGCCCCGGCUCUGCCCCCGGCCCCGGCUCUGCCCCCGCCUCUGCCCCCCCCCCCCGGCCCCGGCUCUGCCCCCGCGGCCCCGCCUCUGCCCCCGGCCCCGGCUCUGCCCCCGGCUCUGCCCCCCGACCCCGGCUCUGCCCCCCGGCCCCGGCUCUGCCCCCGGCUCUGCCCCCCCGGCCCCGGCUCUCCCCGGUGCGCGCUCGGAGCCCGGGGCAGCCCGCAGGCGGCGCCGGUGUCGGGCUCGGGCUCGGGCUCGGGCUCGGGCUCGGGCUCGGGCGCCCGCCGGGCGGGGCCGCGGCAGGACCUCUCCCGACCUUUCUCGGGAGGAGCCCGCCGUCCCCGCCUCUAG